rnacentral:rRNA from 1 species
GAUCCAGCUUGCUGGAUGCUGACGAGCGGCGGACGGGUGAGUAAUGCAUAGGAAUCUGCCCGAUAGUGGGGGAUAACCUGGGGAAACCCAGGCUAAUACCGCAUACGUCCUACGGGAGAAAGGGGGCUCCGGCUCCCGCUAUGGGAUGAGCCUAUGUCGGAUUAGCUAGUUGGUGAGGUAACGGCUCACCAAGGCCACGAUCCGUAGCUGGUCUGAGAGGAUGAUCAGCCACAUCGGGACUGAGACACGGCCCGAACUCCUACGGGAGGCAGCAGUGGGGAAUAUUGGACAAUGGGGGAAACCCUGAUCCAGCCAUGCCGCGUGUGUGAAGAAGGCCCUCGGGUUGUAAAGCACUUUCAGCGAGGAAGAACGCCUAGCGGUUAAUACCCGCUAGGAAAGACAUCACUCGCAGAAGAAGCACCGGCUAACUCCGUGCCAGCAGCCGCGGUAAUACGGAGGGUGCAAGCGUUAAUCGGAAUUACUGGGCGUAAAGCGCGCGUAGGUGGCUUGAUAAGCCGGUUGUGAAAGCCCCGGGCUCAACCUGGGAACGGCAUCCGGAACUGUCAAGCUAGAGUGCAGGAGAGG